ACUCCUACGGGAGGCAGCAGUGGGGAAUAUUGCACAAUGGGCGCAAGCCUGAUGCAGCCAUGCCGCGUGUGUGAAGAAGGCCUCGGUUGUAAAGCACUUUCAGUCGUGAGGAAGGUAGUGUAGUUAAUAGCUGCAUUAUUUGACGUUAGCGACAGAAGAAGCACCGGCUAACUCCGUGCCAGCAGCCGCGGUAAUACGGAGGGGUGCGAGCGUUAAUCGGAAUUACUGGGCGUAAAGCGCAUGCAGGUGGUUUGUUAAGUCAGAUGUGAAAGCCCGGGGCUCAACCUCGGAAUAGCAUUUGAAACUGGCAGACUAGAGUACUGUAGAGGGGGUAGAAUUUCAGGUGUAGCGGUGAAAUGCGUAGAGAUCUGAAGGAAUACCGGUGGCGAAGGCGGCCCCCUGGACAGAUACUGACACUCAGAUGCGAAAGCGUGGGAGCAAACAGGAUUAGAU
rnacentral:rRNA from 1 species